rnacentral:rRNA from 1 species
UACAGAGGGUGCGAGCGUUAAUCGGAAUUACUGGGCGUAAAGCGCGCGCAGGCGGUCUUCCAAGUCAGUGGUGAAAGCCCGGAGCUCAACUCCGGAACUGCCAUUGAAACUGUUAGACUUGAGGAUGAGAGAGGUGAGUGGAAUUCCCAGUGUAGAGGUGAAAUUCGUAGAUAUUGGGAAGAACACCAGUGGCGAAGGCGGCUCACUGGCUCAUUACUGACGCUCAGGCGCGAUAGCGUGGGGAUCAAACAGG